rnacentral:misc_RNA from 1 species
GCCAUCAAUCGUGAAGAAGAGGUUCCAGUAGUACAUUCCAGAGGAAGCACGAAGAACAAUCAUGAAUUUAUUCCAUAUAUUGCUCAACGUAAUUGUUGGUGUGGUGCUUUGCAACGUGACUGCAUUCCCUAUGGAUGUCAUGUUCGAGCUGUUUUCUAUCUUCCUCUUCAUGGCAGCAAUCUUGUAGGGUCGACUGAUGGUUGUCUCGAAUCUACACGAAUCAUCAACUCUCCCUCACCUUAUUUUCUCUCAUGGCCUCCCAGGAUGCAGAUUGUUGCAGACCAGGCGACCGCGCCCAGCCGUACCGGCUCCUCCCGCG